UACGGGGGGGGCAAGCGUUGUUCGGAAUUACUGGGCGUAAAGGGCUCGUAGGUGGCCAACUAAGUCAGACGUGAAAUCCCUCGGCUUAACCGGGGAACUGCGUCUGAUACUGGAUGGCUUGAGUUUGGGAGAGGGACGCGGAAUUCCAGGUGUAGCGGUGAAAUGCGUAGAUAUCUGGAGGAACACCGGUGGCGAAGGCGGCAUCCUGGACCGAUAUUGACGCUGAUGCGCGAAAGCCAGGGGAGCAAACGGG
rnacentral:rRNA from 1 species